GACAGCCCAAACCGGUUUUAUCUUUAGUCUAAAUCUCGGCGACUUCAACUUCUAGCCUUUCCUAAGCAACCUUUGCAGACACAUCAUAUUGAAAGACCAUUCAAUGGAAACUGCUCUGACAGGAAACAGUGUGGUGUUUGAUAAUAGCAAACACUGCAGCCGAUAAUCAGGGGGCAUCAUAACAAACUGCAGCAAGGAGUGCAACAGGACACUUGCUACCUUGGACCCAGUGUGUGUGUGGCGUCAGAAAGCCGAGGUGAAGACACUCAGUGGGGAUGGGAGGAGGAGAAGUGAGGCUGGGGUGUCGUCGUCCCCCCCUUAAUUUGGAAACCAGCCAUUGCCAUGCAUGUUAUGACCCACUGUACACACCAACGAGCCAGGGUGGAAGAGAGCAACGGCAGAGAAAGCUGGAAAGAUUGAGAUGUGGCUCAGACCGCCUCAUUCCAGCCAGUGUGGAAAUAACAGAGGAAGAAAGGAGGUCACUGGUAUCUCAACCGAAGCACUGAAUAAGAAUGGUAUUGCUUCUUUUAAAUGCUGUACAUGGUUUGUAAUGACUGCUGUUUUCAAACCCAGUAAUAGGAUCCCAUGUGGUACCUGUUCCACAGGCCUAUAGGUUUCCAUGCAACAAAUGUAAUUAUCAGCACACAUAAAGAAUACAGCUGCUUUUUAAAGGUUCCCUUUCUCCCGUCUGUAUGUACUCCUUUUAGAUACUUUUUAGGUUACAUAGCUUUCACUAUUAUGCUGAUGAUGCACAGAUCUACCAUAUUAUUAACUGCAGUGACCGCAUCUUAAAUUGAUAGUUAAGGGAUUACUUACUCCUUAAAUUGUACUUCAUUUGUUUAUGAAUGAUGGUGUUUUAAGGGGCUUGGGUUUUUGCCCAUUCAAAUUAAUGUACAAAUUAAAGGAUCUCUGGCUACCAUGCUAAACAACGUAAUUCAAGGUUAUUGAAUUCAUGUGCCUGUUUUUGCUUGCCUGAUUCGUGUGCCUUGUCUUACUGCCUGCCUGUUACCGUCUAUGCCUAAUCUAAGUAAAAAGCUUUUUGA